rnacentral:rRNA from 1 species
AAAGGAAUUGACGGGGACCCGCACAAGCGGUGGAUGAUGUGGUUUAAUUCGAUGCAACGCGAAAAACCUUACCUACCCUUGACAUGUCUGGAAUCUCGCAGAGAUGUGAGAGUGCCCGAAAGGGAGCCAGAACACAGGUGCUGCAUGGCUGUCGUCAGCUCGUGUCGUGAGAUGUUGGGUUAAGUCCCGCAACGAGCGCAACCCUUGUCAUUAGUUGCUACAUUUAGUUGGGCACUCUAAUGAGACUGCCGGUGACAAACCGGAGGAAGGUGGGGAUGACGUCAAGUCCUCAUGGCCCUUAUGGGUAGGGCUACACACGUCAUACAAUGGCCGGUACAAAGGGCUGCCAACCCGCGAGGGGGAGCUAAUCCCAUAAAACCGGUCGUAGUCCGGAUCGCAGUCUGCAACUCGACUGCGUGAAGUCGGAAUCGCUAGUAAUCGUGGAUCAGCAUGUCACGGUGAAUACGUUCCCGGGUCUUGUACACACCGCCCGU